GAUGAACGCUGGCGGCGUGCCUAAUACAUGCAAGUCGAGCGAACAGACGAGGAGCUUGCUCCUCUGACGUUAGCGGCGGACGGGUGAGUAACACGUGGAUAACCUACCUAUAAGACUGGGAUAACUUCGGGAAACCGGAGCUAAUACCGGAUAACAUGUUGAACCGCAUGGUUCAACAGUGAAAGACGGUCUUGCUGUCACUUAUAGAUGGAUCCGCGCCGCAUUAGCUAGUUGGUAAGGUAACGGCUUACCAAGGCAACGAUGCGUAGCCGACCUGAGAGGGUGAUCGGCCACACUGGAACUGAGACACGGUCCAGACUCCUACGGGAGGCAGCAGUAGGGAAUCUGCCGCAAUGGGCGAAGGCCUGACGGAGCAACGCCGCGUGAGUGAAGAAGGUCUUCGGAUCGUAAAACUCUGUUAUUAGGGAAGAACAAAUGUGUAAGUAACUAUGCACGUCUUGACGGUACCUAAUCAGAAAGCCACGGCUAACUACGUG
rnacentral:rRNA from 1 species